rnacentral:misc_RNA from 1 species
CUUUCGCUCUGGUACAAAUAUACCAGAAUAGAGUUUUAUUACUAGAACUGAGUUUGAAAAUCCUAAUUCGGGAUUUAAAACUCUAUAAUUAGAAUAUCAAAAGAUCAUGGUUGCAAGGUAGUGAGAGUUAAAGACUCCGUUACCCUAGCAUGAAUUACAGUACAUCAAGAAUUGUUAUGGGACUAGAGAUUUUAGCAUGGUAAAAAUUUAAAAAUAACACCUAUAGGGCUAAGUCAUCCAGUCU